AGCAGCCGCGGUAAUUCCAGUUCCAAUAGCGUAUAUUUAAGUUGUUGCAGUUAAAAAGCUCGUAGUUGAAUUUCGGGGUUAGUAGGUUGGUCGUGCCACUGGUAUGCACUGAUCUUACUGAUUCCUCCUUCCUGAUGAACCGUAAUGCCAUUAAUUUGGUGUUGCGGGGAAACUGGACUGUUACUUUGAAAAAUUAGAGUGUUUAAAGCAAGCUAACGCUUGAAUACAUUAGCAUGGAAUAAUGAAAUAGGACGAUUGAUCCUAUUUUGUUGGUUUCUAGGAUUGACGUAAUGAUUAAUAGGGAUAGCUGGGGGCAUUAGUAUUCAAUUGUCAGAGGUGAAAUUCUUGGAUUUAUUGAAGACUAACUACUGCGAAAGCAAUUUGCCAAGGAUGUUUUCAUUAAUCAAGAACAAAAGUUAGGGGAUCGAAGACGAUCAGAUACCGUCGUAGUCUUAACCAUAAACUAUGCCGACUAGGGAUCGGAUGAUGUUAAUUUUUAAUGUACUCUAUUCGGCGCCGU
rnacentral:rRNA from 1 species